rnacentral:lncRNA from 1 species
UGGGCUCGUUUCCGUUCUUAUUUUUAUGUCGGAAAAAUAUUUAUUAAUUAAUUUAUUAUUAAUUUUCGAUUUUUUUUUUUUAAUUCAUCUAGUUUAUACACCAUUCAUAACCUUAGUGUUGAUUGAUGAGUGAAUCACUAAUCAAAUUAACAUUAUUAAGUUAUAAUUAUCAGUUUCUCACUAACAAUUUUGAAUGCUUAGCAAUAAUAUUAGAGUAGUGAUGAUUGAUGAGUGAAUCACUAAUCAAAUUAACAUUCUUAAGUUAUAAUUAUAAGAUUCUUACUAAGAAUC